GGCCUGCGCACCACAUAAGCUUGGUAGUUUUUAGGAUCAACAUUUUGGCACACCCAGUGAGACAUAGUGCUAAAACCACGAAGUUCAUGACCAUUGAGACACGAUCGGUUAAAAAGAAAAUAGUCAUGAGAAAGUGCACGACCAAUCUUCCAGUCCAAAACCCAAGACCAGAUGACUUGUCACAAGCACAUAAUCUUCCUGUUGCUUGAUGCAAAAAUUAACUUAACACACAAAUUAAACCAUCUUUUGACAAUUGUAGUAUAUUUAUAAGUAGGUUUUCUAGGCAGGGGAUUAGGAGGGAUUGCUAAUUGAUUCUAAACUGACUUAAAGACACAAAAACAAACUUAAAAAUGAUAGGAUAGAUUCAAAAAACUCAAAACUAGUUCACAAGACUCAAAAUAAGAUAAAAACACUCAAAACUGCCUAAAAACACCAACUAGGCAGUUUCUAACACUAAACACAAUUUUGGAUGAAUGUAAGGUUUGGGCUUGACUCAAAACACUUAAAAACACAAACAAAACAAGUUUAAAACAAUUUGAAACAAGAAAGUAAAUGGGGGUUUUGUUUUGGAUGAAUUUAAAAUAACAAAACAGAUUGUAAUUUAAAAACAGGUUUGUAGACAAUUUUAGGAAAUUAGAUGGAUGAUGGGAUAGCUAGAGGCUUUUCCUCCACAUAUGACAUGUAUGCAAACGACUCGAUUUCCAGUUACUACUUCAUUGAAUUAUGAACGACAAUGCCUCAAAUUAACCGUGACAUCACUAGUUAACCCUCAGAUUUUCCUUGUUUUAUUGGAUUGGAUGACAUCAUUCGACAACCCAAAGUAUUCUUCAAAAGUUCCCUACAUGACAUCAUAAUAGAGAUACGAUCAAAGAUCAUUACGUUCAAUGAAAAUCAUAAGCAUUGAUAAAGCACUUGCAACUAUGACAUCAUGUCACUCAUGCUAGGAAGUAAACUUAACGCGAUCGUGAUCAACAACCUUCACUACAUAUGAAUAUAAGUUUGUAACGAUUAUGUGAAACUUCCUUAUAUUCUAGCAUCGGAUUUAUGCAUGCCAAUUAACACUAUGUUUGGAUGAAGAAAUUUAAGAUUACUAAGGAAUUUUAAAAUGAUGGAAAUUGAAAUGAAGGGAUUUUAUUUUCUAGAAUUUGUGAAUGUUGUUGUUUGGUUAACUUAAAAGACCAAUGGAAUUGAAAACGGAAUUUGUUAAUUUUAAGCUCCCAAUCAUAGAAAUUGGGAAAUGACACCUAUUUACAUGGAAUUUAAACUUGGAAAUUGGAGGCCCCAAAUUCCAAGUUUUUUUCCAUGCAGAAAUUCUAAAUUUCUAUGUUAUAAAUCCAAACAAGGGAAUUGGUGCAUGUCAAUUUAUAAAUUCUGAUCCAAAUUCCAAGUUUAUUUCCCUCAUCCAAACAGACCAUAAGUGUCGACCCACAAUUAACAAACACAAAUAAGUUAUCAAUUAAGCAGUUAAGCCAAUUGCAUUCACGAUUCAAGAAUUCAUAACUGGAAUUUAUCAACUCAUAUUGCACACAUAAUGAUAGGAGCAUAUUUAUGCGACUUAGUUGGCUUGUUCUUAAGCAUUUAUGUUGUUUUUCUUUAGUUAUUUUAGUGUUUAAAGUCAUUUUCGUGCAAUUUUAGGUUUAGAGACGAAGUAUGCAAGAAGUGCAAAAUGGAGCAUUUUAGAGCAAAAUUGAGCUAGAAUGGAGUGUAUGCUA
rnacentral:lncRNA from 1 species